rnacentral:rRNA from 1 species
AUCCCUUAAAGCCAUUCUCAGUCGGAUUGUAGGCUGAAACUCGCCUACAUGAAGCUGGAGUUACUAGUAAUCGCAGAUCAGAAUGCUGCGGUGAAUGCGUUCCCGGGUCUUGUACACACCGCCCGUCACACCACGGAAGUUGGGGGCGCCCGAAGCCACUUAGCUAACCCUUUUGGGAAGCGAGUGUCGAAGGUGAAAUCAAUAACUGGGGUGAAGUCGUAACAAGGUAUC